AGCGAACGCUGGCGGCAGGCCUAACACAUGCAAGUCGAACGGAUCCUUCGGGAUUAGUGGCGGACGGGUGAGUAACACGUGGGAACGUGCCUUUUGGUUCGGAACAACUCAGGGAAACUUGAGCUAAUACCGGAUAAGCCCUUCGGGGGAAGAUUUAUCGCCAUUAGAGCGGCCCGCGUCUGAUUAGCUAGUUGGUGAGGUAAAGGCUCACCAAGGCUACGAUCAGUAGCUGGUCUGAGAGGAUGAUCAGCCACAUUGGGACUGAGACACGGCCCAAACUCCUACGGGAGGCAGCAGUGGGGAAUCUUGCGCAAUGGGCGAAAGCCUGACGCAGCCAUGCCGCGUGAAUGACGAAGGUCUUAGGAUUGUAAAAUUCUUUCAGUAGGGACGAUAAUGACGGUA
rnacentral:rRNA from 1 species